GCCCCCCGCUUUGACAUGUGGCUGAUAAAAUUUUUCUUCGCCAAAAGGGGUCUGAGCUUUGCCAGUCGAUCUCGGUUUCUCCAGUUUAAUUUAGUAUUGACGAAAGUUAUCCAACGGAGGUCAAACUUCUGCCGCACAACGAAAAUUUGCGAUCAACCUUAUUUUUGACCUUGGCAGAGGACAUACAGUUGCCUCUGAAAUUCUAUGUCGUGGCCUGGAUAGGCACAGACAUAUACAUAUCGGAUGUCUUCAAGGAAAAGGAUUGACACACACACACACACACUGAAUUCAACCGACACAUCAAUGCAUGCAGGCCUGUUGCAGCGAUGGAAAACCAAACGUAAGCUACCACUAAAAGUAAGAAAAACACCGCUUUGCUUAUAAUUUGAUUUGUUCUUCUAAACUUUUCUCCUCUUUAUAUAUAUAAAAAAACCCCUAAAAUUAAGUUGCUGUAACUGUAGAUAAAUAAGAUGUUAUGAAGAUUUGAGGUGAUGCUGAGGAUGGUUGUUAGUUGGAGUGGAGUUAAAAUAUGAAAAUACACUGAAGAUUGAUCAACAUGAAA